rnacentral:rRNA from 1 species
UGCAAGUCGAGCGGAAACGAUCCUAGCUUGCUAGGAGGCGUCGAGCGGCGGACGGGUGAGUAAUGCAUAGGAAUCUGCCCGGUAGUGGGGGAUAACCUGAGGAAACUCAGGCUAAUACCGCAUACGUCCUACGGGAGAAAGCAGGGGCUCUUCGGACCUUGCGCUAUCGGAUGAGCUUAUGUCGGAUUAGCUGGUUGGUGAGGUAACGGCUCACCAAGGCGACGAUCCGUAGCUGGUCUGAGAGGAUGAUCAGCCACAUCGGGACUGAGACACGGCCCGAACUCCUACGGGAGGCAGCAGUGGGGAAUAUUGGACAAUGGGGGCAACCCUGAUCCAGCCAUGCCGCGUGUGUGAAGAAGGCCCUCGGGUUGUAAAGCACUUUCAGUGAGGAAGAAGGCUUGUCGGUUAAUACCCGGCAAGAAAGACAUCACUCACAGAAGAAGCACCGGCUAACUCCGUGCCAGCAGCCGCGGUAAUACGGAGGGUGCGAGCGUUAAUCGGAAUUACUGGGCGUAAAGCGUGCGUAGGCGGCUUGAUAAGCCGGUUGUGAAAGCCCCGGGCUCAACCUGGGAACGGCAUCCGGAACUGUCAGGCUAGAGUGCAGGAGAGGAAGGUAGAAUUCCCGGUGUAGCGGUGAAAUGCGUAGAGAUCGGGAGGAAUACCAGUGGCGAAGGCGGCCUUCUGGACUGACACUGACGCUGAGGUACGAAAGCGUGGGUAGCAAACAGGAUUAGAUACCCUGGUAGUCCACGCCGUAAACGAUGUCGACUAGCCGUUGGGGUCCUCGAGACCUUUGUGGCGCAGUUAACGCACUAAGUCGACCGCCUGGGGGAGUACGGCCGCAAGGUUAAAACUCAAAUGAAUUGACGGGGGCCCGCACAAGCGGUGGAGCAUGUGGUUUAAUUCGAUGCAACGCGAANAACCUUACCUACCCUUGACAUCGUGCGAACUUUCCAGA